rnacentral:rRNA from 1 species
GACGAACGCUGGCGGCGGGCUUAACACAUGCAAGUCGAACGGAAAGGCCCUGCUUUUGUGGGGUGCUCGAGUGGCGAACGGGUGAGUAACACGUGAGUAACCUGCCCUUGACUUUGGGAUAACUUCAGGAAACUGGGGCUAAUACCGGAUAGGAGCUCCUGCUGCAUGGUGGGGGUUGGAAAGUUUCGGCGGCUGGGGAUGGACUCGCGGCUUAUCAGCUUGUUGGUGGGGUAGUGGCUUACCAAGGCUUUGACGGGUAGCCGGCCUGAGAGGGUGACCGGCCACAUUGGGACUGCGAUACGGCCCAGACUCCUACGGGAGGCAGCGGGGGGGAAUAUUGCACAAUGGGCGGAAGCCUGAUGCAGAAACGCCGCGUGCGGGAUGACGGCCUUCGGGUUGUAAACCGCUUUCGCCUGUGACGAAGCGUGAGUGACGGUAAUGGGUAAAGAAGCACCGGCUAACUACGUG